rnacentral:rRNA from 1 species
AUUGAACGCUGGCGGCAUGCCUUACACAUGCAAGUCGAACGGCAGCACGGGAGCUUGCUCCUGGUGGCGAGUGGCGAACGGGUGAGUAAUACAUCGGAACGUACCCAGGAGUGGGGGAUAACGUAGCGAAAGUUACGCUAAUACCGCAGAUUCUGUGAGCAGGAAAGCGGGGGAUCGCAAGACCUCGCGCUCUUGGACCGGCCGAUGUCGGAUUAGCUAGUUGGUGAGGUAAAGGCUCACCAAGGCGACGAUCCGUAGCAGGUCUGAGAGGAUGAUCUGCCACACUGGGACUGAGACACGGCCCAGACUCCUACGGGAGGCAGCAGUGGGGAAUUUUGGACAAUGGGGGCAACCCUGAUCCAGCCAUGCCGCGUGAGUGAAGAAGGCCUUCGGGUUGUAAAGCUCUUUCGGCGGGGAAGAAAUGGCAACGGCUAAUAUCCGUUGUUGAUGACGGUACCCGCAUAAGAAGCACCGGCUAACUACGUGCCAGCCGCCGCGGUAA